ACCGGACCCAAAACAAGGUGCUGCAUGGCGUGUCGUCAGCUCGUGUCGUGAGAUGUUGGGUUAAGUCCCGCAACGAGCGCAACCCUUAUCAACAGUUGCCAUCAUUAAGUUGGGAACUCUGUUGAGACUGCCGUUGAUAAAACGGAGGAAGGUGGGGAUGAUGUCAAGUCAUCAUGGCCUUUAUGUUCAGGGCUACACACGUGCUACAAUGGAUGGUACAAAACGUC
rnacentral:rRNA from 1 species